GUGCUUUAAAUGUGUGUAUUCAUUAUUUUAGCAUUUUGGUGCAUUUUCUUAAAAAAUUAAAAAUUCUGCCUAAAUACCACAGUAUAGCUCCACCUUCAGCUUAAAACAUAGAAUUUGACUCAUUUUGAAUAAAUUUUAGCCAAUGGCUAAAGAGUAAGAUACUACGUAAUCCAGUAGAGUACUACGUAGCAGCUCUGUGUCAACGUUAUAAAAGCAUCGGGAGUCUCGGCCACGCCUUGUGGCGAGUUGGGAGUUGGAUUUGCAUGAGAGUGUAGGAGGCUAGCCGUAGUUCAGCAUUAGCAUAUAGCAUUAGCAUAUCCUAGUCUUUAGCAUAGCUUUUAGUGUUAUACAUACUUAUUUAGUGUUAGCUUGGCUGUUGGAUAUUGUAGUUUAGUUACUGUUUGGCUGUUAGUGUAAUUAGGAAAGUAGUUCGGGUUUAGUGCUCCAUAUCGUGUUAGCAUGGUGAGAUGGUGUAGUGUAGUAUGGUUGCGGAGCUCUGUCGGGUUGCACUCCUUUCCGCUGGACUUAGAAAUUAGGCGCCAGUGGUUGCGUGUCUGGAAAAGAUUCAGCUCCCGCCUGGUGCUGUAGUUUGCAACCAGCAUUUUACCCGCGAUUCUGCACGUCUCCGUUCCAAGAGGGAGGCUGUGCCCACCGUGGCUCUUCCGCGAUUUAGAUGCAGCCCACCAACUCUGCUCCCCCACCAUGACGGGCUACAGUCUGAGGCUAAAUCUACCCAAGACACUGGCUGUCAGACUGAUUUAGUAAUCUGCAAGAAUGCACUUGUCCAGGCUGACGUGGUGUUACCCGUAGCAAAGAGCUCACAGCCUCAGUGUCUUGUGACACAGGGACCAUGACAGAAAUUCAUCUUCCAGAAGGUCCCAGAGCAUCCACACCUCCUGAAAAGACCACGGUGUGAGGUGUCUGCUGUUGAUUCCAGCUUCCACCUCAGUGACAGUGCAAGCUCAGUGAACUGUUCAAGGAGGCUACUGAUUCUGGCCCUGUGACACUUGGUGGUCACCACCAGGUGGUGACGUGUGAGCUGAUUCACCUGGACACUCUGCAAAAUAUGGACUCUACACCAUGAGGCAGGCACACGUUAAUAACUCUAUAAGAGCACAUAAGGUAAGCAACACCACAUAUUAUUUUUAUUACUGUACACUGUCCUGGAUUUGUUUUCUUUCUGCAUGAUUUGUUUUCUUUCUGCAUCUCAUCAUUAGCCUGGCUGAUCACCUGAUAACUCCUGUCAUCUGGUUAUGACAGCAUGAGGAUGUCCUCACACACCUGUAACCUAUCAGCUCAUCUGGCAGAAUAGAGAGAGAAGAGACAACACCACAUCUCCUGUUCCUGGAAAGCCUUCAGCCAUCCUUCGAUGACUGAGAACCUCCAUCAGCUCUGUCUCCUGUCUGCCUACAAUUAUUAUAAUAAAUAUUGUGUUUGACAAGUU